rnacentral:rRNA from 1 species
GUGUCAGCAGCCGCGGUAAAACGUAGGAGGCGAGCGUUAUCCGGAUUUACUGGGUGUAAAGCGCGUGCAGGCGGUUGGCGAAGUUGGGUGUGAAAGCUCCUGGCUCAACUGGGAGAGGUCGCUCAAAACUGGCCGACUGGAGAGCAGGAAGGGAAGGUGGAAUUCCGGGUGUAGUGGUGAAAUGCGUAGAUAUCCGGAGGAACACCAGUGGCGAAGGCGGCCUUCUGGACUGCAUCUGACGCUCAGACGCGAAAGCUAGGGGAGCAAACGGGAUUAGAGACCCCGGUAGUCCUAGCCGUAAACGAUGUGAACUUGGCGCUGGGUGGGUAAAACCAGCCAGUGCCGCAGCUAACGCGAUAAGUUCACCACCUGGGGACUACGGCCGCAAGGUUAAA